rnacentral:rRNA from 1 species
CCUACGGGAGGCAGCAGUGGGGGAUAUUGGACAAUGGGGGAAACCCUGAUCCAGCGACGCCGCGUGAGUGAAGAAGUAUUUCGGUAUGUAAAGCUCUGUCAGCAGGGAAGAAAGAAAUGACGGUACCUGACCAAGAAGCCCCGGCUAACUACGUGCCAGCAGCCGCGGUAAGACGGAGGGGGCAAGCGUUAUCCGGAAUUACGGGGGGUAAAGGGGGCGUAGACGGUGCAGCAAGUCUGGAGUGAAAGGCGGGGGCCCAACCCCCGGACUGCAUUGGAAACUGUGUAACUUGAGUGCAGGAGAGGUAAGCGGAAUUCCUAGUGUAGCGGUGAAAUGCGUAGAUAUUAGGAGGAACACCAGUGGCGAAGGCGGCUUACUGGACUGUAACUGACGUUGAGGCUCGAAAGCGUGGGGAGCAAACAGGAUUAGAUACCCGGGUAGUC